AAGCAAAGAAGUAUUUCUCUAAAGGUUUGAGAGGAGUAUGGACCUGCAGACAUCUUCAUUUCAGACUUCUAGUGUCCAGAACGCUUUGCCAUUUUUCCUCUGUCACUUAAGGGUCUUGCCUUGCUGUGUCACCCA